UGAUCAGAAGAAAGAAACGGCCACCAGAGAGCUGAAGGGAGCGUGGGUUCUGGGCAUGAUGAGUGCGACCUAUCAGUGGACAAAAGGGAAGAUUUCAGUUCUUUCUAUCACUUUGUAUAUCUCUCUGUAAUGUGUAUGGGAAAAGGGGUUGAUAGAAUGCAAAAGUGCUAAUAAUAUAAUUGGAGGGGUUGAGUCAUUGACCUAUAAAGGCUAUUAUCACACCUGUAAUUAGUCAAAAUAUAGGUCAAAAUCAGUGGUUUGAAUUUUGAAGCCAUUUGCAAUAACUGGGAGCGGAGGAGUAACCUUGGAUGCUGCAGUUAGUGACCCCCCAUGAGUUGGGUUUGGCUUCUGUGGAGCCAUUGGUAGCAUAAAGAAGUAUCGAGAUUCUCUAUGUUGGAACUUAGAAUUUGGAUUUUUUGGGUGUAAACUUACAAUGAUCAUCACAAAAUUAACUAGGGUAUAGAAGUUUACAUCAUAUCAGGUAACUGUGAUAUUGACAAAAUGCCACUUUGUAGAGCAAUUGACUAAUUUGGAAAACAUUUUGAUGCUGUUGGCCACGGCCAUAAAGAAUGCCUUAAUUUGAUGAUUACAGGUGGGUGAAGAAGGUGGCGACCAUGAGGAGUUGGGGACGUGGCAAGGCUGGAGAUGGUGGGGAAUUAGUGGGGAGUUAGUAAUGGGUUUGAAGCUGCAUUACCAAAAAUGAUGUUUGGAAUGCUAGAAAGAGAUGGAAACUUGAUUAGAAUAGGAGUCUCAUGUUUUGAUCUCAGCCUUUUUGUUUCAAGUAGAAUAAAAGAAGUAUGGUAGAUGGACUGCGGAAGUGAUUAACUACUGAAAGCCAUGAAAGAGAUAUGCAUAUGAUUACAUAUGGAGAACUUGGGCUACUACACAAGAGCAAAGCUGCUUUAAUCUGAAACUGAAUUUGUCUAGUACCUGCCAUUUGUCUAGUUCUUGAAAGAAUCAAGAUGAAGUUUCCAUUUUCCCCGAGUUUUUACCCCAAAACACAAACCCCUUUUGUUGAUCAGCUUGAGAAGAAAAAGAGUGAAUGUGUUGGGGGGGUUAUGUCAUAUGUGUCAUGGAUGAUGUGGGUGGGUUUGCAUCAGAAACGAGGAAGGAGAGUGAUGUGGGAUUGGGGGGGUGUGGGUGUUAAUGUUUUUUCAUCAGUAACGAGGGAGGAGGAGGUAGAGAGAAUAACUAUGAUGAUCCUUUGAUCCUUCCUUCUAAAUAUGCCCUUCGCCCCUUCCAAAGGAAUGAACCAUCCAAUCUGAUAUUUAUUACUGUUUCUUCCGUGUUGGGUCUGAAACUACCACCCCCCUCUCUCACCCUCUUAAUUAAUUACACCCACCCCCUAUCUCUCUCCCUUUCUCUCUCUCUUUCUCUCUCUUAUUUACUGUUACUCCCUUCAUCACACCUUAAAUAGAACCCAACUGCCCCUUCUUCAUAUCUCUAAUAUUUGUAUUAUAACUCUUUUCUCUCUCCCUCCGACCUUUCUCUCUCUUUCUCUCUCUCCCUCCGCCUGUGUUUUCAAUGGUGGAUGAAUACAAGGACGCUGUUUCUUUCAUAUGGGUUUGACAAAGGGUUUCUCACAGAGUUUAUUGGCAUUCUGUCCACCUCCCAUCUCUUGAAAAUCUCUCUUUUCUCUCUGUGGAGGUGGGCAUACUGCCAACCAAGCUCUGUUGGACUCUCUUUGUAAAACCCUCGUGAUACCCCCCAACACCAUGUCCAAUCUCUCUCGCUCUUCCACUCUAGAGCAUCAAGGGGUUUCAUCAACUCCUCCUCUUUGCCUCUUUCAAGCCAAGCCAUGAAGGGUUCACGAUCAGGGCAAACCCAGAUGCCAUCAAGCCUUUUUCUACAUCUCACAGCCACAAAAGAGGCGGAAAUUAAUGAAAGAAGAGACUGUUCUUCCUCUGAAACCGGAGGCUCCAGUUUCGCUUUGGAAAAACCUCCCUUGUAUUGAUUGUAUUUUUGUGUAAUAUUUGGUCUGAUCAUCAGUUUCUCUGAAGAGUUUUUAAUGUUCAUGGCUUCAUCUUCUUCAUGCA